UGGACCAAUACCCUCUGCAAAAUGAAAAAGAACUUAAUUUCAUCAAGUUACAAUUCAAGGUUGGCCUUUGCAUAAGAAAAGGUUAUGCCAGAGAGGUCCUGAGAGCCUGUACAGAGAUGAUGUUUAUCAGGUCUAAACUUGGGCUCAAUAAAAAUAUAAAUUUGCA